CCUACGGGCGACAGCAGUGGGGAAUAUUGGACAAUGGGGGAAACCCUGAUGCAGCGACGCCGCGUGAGCGAAGACGUAUUUCGGUAUGGAAAGCCCUAUUAGCAGGGGAGAAAAUGACGGUACCUGAGUAAGCAGCUACGGCUAAAUACGUGCCAGCAGCCGCGGCAAUACGGAGGGAGCAAGCGUUAUCCGGAUUUACUGGGCGUAAAGGGAGCGUAGGCGGCUUGACAAGUCUGAUGUGAAAUACCGGGGCUCAACCCCGUGGCUGCAUUGGAAACUGGGAGGCUGGAGUGCCGGAGAGGCAGGCGGAAUGCCUAGUGUAGCGGUGAAAUGCGUAGAUAUCAGGAAGAACACCAGUGGCGAAGGCAGCCUGCUGG
rnacentral:rRNA from 1 species